GCUAUCGGAUUGAUACUAAGCCAUGCGAGUCUUUGUAGUAAUACAAGGCAUACGGCUCAGUAACACGUAGUCAACCUACCUUAUGGACGAGGAUAAUCUCGGGAAACUGAGGAUAAUACUCGAUAGACCAUCACUCCUGGAAUGGUUGGUGGUUGAAAUGAUUCGUCGCCAUAGGAUGGGACUGCGGCCUAUCAGCUUGUUGGUGAGGUAAUGGCUCACCAAGGCGAUUACAGGUACGGGCUCUGAGAGGAGAAGCCUGGAGAUGGGUACUGAGACACGGACCCAGGCCCUAUGGGGCGCAGCAGGCGAGAAAGCUUUGCAAUGUGCGAAAGCACGACAAGGUUAAUCCGAGUGAUUUCUGCUAAAGGAAUCUUUUGCUAGUUCUAAAAAUACUAGUGAAUAAGGGGUGGGCAAGUUCUGGUGUCAGCCGCCGCGGUAAAACCAGCACCUCAAGUGGUCAGGAGGAUUAUUGGGCCUAAAGCAUCCGUAGCCUGUUCUAUAAGUUUGCGGUUAAAUCUAUGCGCUCAACGUAUAGGCUGCUGUAAAUACUGUAGAACUAGGGAGUGGGAGAGGUAGACGGUACUCAGUAGGAAGGGGUAAAAUCCUUUGAUCUAUUGAUGACCACCUGUGGCGAAGGCGGUCUACCAGAACACGUCCGACGGUGAGGGAUGAAAGCUGGGGGAGCAAACCGGAUUAGAUACCCGGGUAGUCCCAGCUGUAAACUAUGCAAACUCAGUGAUGCAUUGGCUUGUGGCCAAUGCAGUAUUGCAGGGAAGCCGUUAAGUUUGCCGCCUGGGAAGUACGUACGCAAGUAUGAAACUUAAAGGAAUUGGCGGGGGAGCACCACAAGGGGUGAAGCCUGCGGUUCAAUUGGAGUCAACGCCGGAA
rnacentral:rRNA from 1 species